rnacentral:tRNA from 1 species
GCCUGGCUGGCUCAGUUGGUAGAGCAUGCGACUCUUGAUCUCAAGGUUGUGAGUUCUAGCCCCACAUUGAGUA